CAGUCUCUUUUGCAGUUCAAUAUCACACCGUUAUUAAAGAUUUAUGAGAUGCAGUUUAUUCAGUAGCGCUAUCGGUUGCAAAGGACACAAGGAUCUUCUGAAUUCCCUGGAGAGGGUUAACAACAUAAGGAUAGCUCUCCAUGGCCGAUGCACCCUAACCGAAUACAUUGACUCGAUUCAAAGCAGUCCUCCGAUCCAUUAGAAGUCUUACCAGUUUCCCACUUGCCGAGGAAUAAACGACGUUGAGAGUUCGCCUGCCAUGAAAUUCGGUUGACCUGAGAGUGUUGGCAUUUAGCAGGGCACAAAAUUUGUCAGUUCUGACAUUUUGGAUGAGAAAGCUGGCAGGAGUUAUCCAGUGAUGCAAGCAUUGGAUCGCAUCACAUCAGGAAAUUAUCACCAUUAUCUUACCCUGGAUGUUUAAUAUAUCAUAGCAUUGGAUCUCUAUCGGUGGCAAGGUUAAUAUUUAAACGGCAUCUAAUUAACGCUGAUGUGGGAUGGUCUCGGAUAUCAACAUCUACGGAACCCUUAAUGCGAGAAAAUAUUCGCAUGAUUACCCCGACGUCGCCAUGAAUAUGGAUGAAAUGGAAUAAUGGGCUCAUGUUAUCACAAGCAGAAGGUUUGGUGCUCAGACUGAUUGUCAAAUAAUCCGGUUUACAGUCUCCCCCCUGACAUUUGCACGGUAACUAAACGGGGGAAGGUAAAAAGGAAUCAAUAAGUUAACCCUGGGUUUGGAAGCUAGCCUGUGAGAGAUAGAUGCGUACGUGGGCCUAAAUUGAGUGGCAUGUAGCAAUCUUAUGCUGCCUGUAUGCAGUACUAAUGUUCCAAUGUGGAUCAGGUUUAUAUGCAUCACUGGAUGUUGUGUGUUCAGUGUGAGUUGAUCAUGUAACAUGGAUGCACCGCUAAUGGGACAGUGAGACAAAAACAACUUCACACCUAUCUAAAGAUGGAUAGUAAUUUUCAGGAUUUAGCCUUUCAAGCAAUACUUCGGUAAGUCAAGAUCUUGUUAUUUUAUCAGAUUGAGAUGGGGAAAAUAUUUUGAGGAAAAAAGAGGAAUUAGGAAGAAGUAAAGUAUACUGAUAGAGAAGAGAGAAAA